GGUAGCCGGCCUGAGAGGGUGACCGGCCACACUGGGACUGAGACACGGCCCAGACUCCUACGGGAGGCAGCAGUGGGGAAUAUUGCACAAUGGGCGGAAGCCUGAUGCAGCAACGCCGCGUGAGGGAUGACGGCCUUCGGGUUGUAAACCUCUUUUAGCAGGGAAGAAGCGUGAGUGACGGUACCUGCAGAAAAAGCGCCGGCUAACUACGUGCCAGCAGCCGCGGUAAUACGUAGGGCGCAAGCGUUAUCCGGAAUUAUUGGGCGUAAAGAGCUCGUAGGCGGUUUGUCGCGUCUGCUGUGAAAUCCCGAGGCUCAACCUCGGGCCUGCAGUGGGUACGGGCAGACUAGAGUGCGGUAGGGGAGAUUGGAAUUCCUGGUGUAGCGGUGGAAUGCGCAGAUAUCAGGAGGAACACCGAUGGCGAAGGCAGAUCUCUGGGCCGUAACUGACGCUGAGGAGCGAAAGGGUGGGGAGCAAACAGGCUUAGAUACCCUGGUAGUCCACCCCGUAAACGUUGGGAACUAGUUGUGGGGUCCUUUCCACGGAUUCCGUGACGCAGCUAACGCAUUAAGUU
rnacentral:rRNA from 1 species